rnacentral:lncRNA from 1 species
AUUUCUAGUCAGUCCAAAAAAAGAACAAGACCUUUUUAUAUUUAGUAACACAUCAACUUUAAAUUACCCUUUUUAUCCUAAAUAAAAUGAUUUCUAGCCACACAAAUUUUUAUGGUUUGUUACAAGUGUCAACAGUCUUCCUUCAUUUCUUGAACUCCGUACCCAGUCCAACACCUUCGUAUAAAUUAGGACGGAGCGAGUAGCAAAGAGAAGGUAACUCUGCUAAUAGAGCCAAAUGGCAAUUCACAUUCUUUUAUUAUAAAACACAUUUGAUGUGAUACGUCUAGUUGAAGCAUUUCAAAAUCAGCCAACCAAAUAACUCCCUGUAUAACAUUUCACAAAGUAUUCAAGGCUUACACAAUCAGCAAAAUUUAUCAAAAGUAACGUCUAUUUUCCCAAAAAAUGUCACCUUGAAUCAGUUCAGAUAUACCAAUUUGGUAUAAAAAAAUGUCACUUCCAGGGAUAAUACUAAAGGGAAGAAAGGCAAACUCCACGAGCAGUGGCGGGGCCACAUAGCUCCAAUGGGCAAAUACACUAUUUAGCUAGGAAAAAACUAACGUUUUAUGUAUAUAUGCUAUGUAUUGAAUCCCCUUGACUUCGUCGUGUAUUUAUUUAUUUUUAAAUAUUGAUGCCACUUAGUAAAAAUUCUGGCUCCGCUACAGACAACAAGCCACUACAAACAUGCCCUUCACAAAACAUCAUCAUGAAGUUUCUUUCAGUAAAAUAACGCUAGAGGUCAUACUAAACUCCAGGCUAACUCCUAAUGGUAAUAUCGCAUUGAACGGUUAAUCAAAUUAACCAAUUAAGCUGGUUUACACAUCAAACAGAGCAACAAGAUCCAAAAACGUUUUGCAUAAAUCAAUGGGUUAACAUUUGUAUAUCAAAUUUAUCUCU